rnacentral:rRNA from 1 species
AUGAUGUCCACAACUCCACACAAUUGGUAUUCCUUCUCACGUACAAAUGGCAAAAAACAAGGAAUUAGAGUGUAUCUAAACCUACCUUAUCUGGAAUCUGAUGAAUCAUCAGCUGAAGCAUUGAUUCAGUUGAUACCACAAAAGUUCAGCCUAUCUCGAAUCUUUAUUCUUCACACCAUUUUUCUAUAUAAGAUACUAACAACAAAAGUUCAGCCUGUCUCGAAUCUUGAUUCUUCUUCUUCUUUACUUAUUCGAGACAAUAUUAAAAAAAAAUUCAAAGAUCAGCCACUACCCUGGCCAUAG